rnacentral:rRNA from 1 species
GGAUCCAGACUUUGAUUCUGGCUCAGGACGAACGCUGGCGGCGUGCUUAGCACAUGCAAGUCGAACGGUGAAGAGGAGCUUGCUCCUUGGAUCAGUGGCGAACGGGUGAGUAACACGUGAGCAAUCUGCCCUUGACUCUGGGAUAACUGCGGGAAACUGUAGCUAAUACCGGAUAUUACCUUGGAAGGCAUCUUCUGGGGUGGAAAGAAUUUUGGUCAGGGAUGAGCUCGCGGCCUAUCAGCUAGUUGGUGAGGUAAUGGCUCACCAAGGCGACGACGGGUAGCCGGCCUGAGAGGGUGACCGGCCACACUGGGACUGAGACACGGCCCAGACUCCUACGGGAGGCAGCAGUGGGGAAUAUUGCACAAUGGGCGCAAGCCUGAUGCAGCAACGCCGCGUGAGGGACGACGGCCUUCGGGUUGUAAACCUCUUUUAGUAGGGAAGAAGCGACUGGGUUUUCCUGGGAGUGACGGUACCUGCAGAAAAAGCACCGGCUAACUACGUGCCAGCAGCCGCGGUAAUACGUAGGGUGCAAGCGUUGUCCGGAAUUAUUGGGCGUAAAGAGCUCGUAGGCGGUUUGUCGCGUCUGCUGUGAAAACCCGAGGCUCAACCUCGGGCCUGCAGUGGGUACGGGCAGACUAGAGUGCGGUAGGGGAGAUUGGAAUUCCUGGUGUAGCGGUGGAAUGCGCAGAUAUCAGGAGGAACACCAAUGGCGAAGGCAGAUCUCUGGGCCGUAACUGACGCUGAGGAGCGAAAGCAUGGGGAGCGAACAGGAUUAGAUACCCUGGUAGUCCAUGCCGUAAACGUUGGGAACUAGAUGUGGGGACCAUUCCACGGUCUCCGUGUCGCAGCUAACGCAUUAAGUUCCCCGCCUGGGGAGUACGGCCGCAAGGCUAAAACUCAAAGGAAUUGACGGGGGCCCGCACAAGCGGCGGAGCAUGCGGAUUAAUUCGAUGCAACGCGAAGAACCUUACCAAGGCUUGACAUAUACCGGAAACGGCCAGAAAUGGUCGCCCCGCAAGGUCGGUAUACAGGUGGUGCAUGGUUGUCGUCAGCUCGUGUCGUGAGAUGUUGGGUUAAGUCCCGCAACGAGCGCAACCC